UGGUAUUUUAUUUAUUAAAUUUCUCCUUUCAGAUGCCUGAACUGGCAUGAUAUUAUAUUAAAUAUAUAUUGCUUAUGUUUCAUCAAUCUUGUUGGUGCAGGUGAUUGGACUCUAUGUUGGGGUAGCGACCGUUGGAGUUUUCAUCAUAUGGUUCACACAAGACUCUUUCUUAGGAAUUGACCUAAGUAAAGAUGGCCACAGUCUUGUCACUUAUUCACAACUUACUAACUGGGAUCAGUGCAACUCCUGGGGGAAUUUCUCAGCUUCAUCUUUCACAGCCGGAUCUCAAGUGUUCAGUUUUGAUGCCAAUCCAUGCGACUACUUUCAUACUGGAAAAAUCAAAGCCAUGACCCUUUCCCUCUCUGUUUUGGUGGCCAUCGAGAUGUUCAAUUCCCUUAAUGCCCUUUCUGAGGAUGUGAGCCUCUUGACGAUGCCCCCUUGGGUGAACCCAUGGCUCCUCUUGGCCAUGUCAGUCUCGUUUGGCCUGCACUUCUUGAUUCUUUAUGUUCCUUUCCUUGCUCAAGUAUUCGGCAUUGUACCAUUAAGCCUGAACGAGUGGUUAUUGGUGGUAGCUGUUGCUUUCCCGGUGAUUUUGAUCGACGAGGUUCUCAAAUUUGUGGGUAGGUGUACAAGUGGAGUCCGAUCGUCGCGCUCAAGGAAUUCAUUGAAGCACAAGGAAGAGUGACGUUUUAGUUAGAAUUAUUAGCAGGAGGAGGUUGUUAUCCAUAAAAGCUUCAAUGGGUCUAAUUGACCUUAUAUUACUCUUGGUCCGUCCUUCAACCCUUAUGUCAAGGGUAAGGGUUAGUUAAUUGGACCUUGAAGAUUCAAUUAAACUGAUUAAACAACUUGUAACAGUAGAAUUUAGUUGAACUUGGUAGCUGUUCUUUUUACCUACCCUGUGAUCUAACUUUUGGGAAGAUAUCUUAAAUUGAAUCCAUCUUGAGUUAAAGUUUAUGUCUCGUCUUUAUUCGGGUCUGUCUUGGUUAAUUUUUGUGAAGUUUGAUUAGAGUUUACUGCUUGCGAUUGGCAUCUUGUAGAAGUAUAUUUUUCUUGAUUGCUCGAGUCCCAAACUUACCUAUCAAUAGAAAAUGUCAAAGGUGAUCUACUUUGCACGAGCACUGUCGCAGCAGGAAAAUGAGCUUUGAAUAAAUGUCAUGGACUAACCAAAUAUCUACUCCACUCCAAGCGGAAUAGCUUCUUAUGAUAGAAUGCACAAAGCAUCCAUGAUUCAAAACAAUAGUUACCCGGCAGGUAUACGUAACGCAUGGUAAAAUAUAGAGGGCUUUUUUUUGAACCUAUUUUUUUUUAUAUAAAGCAAAUUUGGAGAAAAAAGAUGUCAAAGACUUGAAGUGGCGUUUGAACCUAUUUUUAUUUUUUUAUAUAUAUAGCAAAUUAAGUGGCGUUCAAGUUUACUUUGAAAAAAAUAUUCUGACAUUUUACUUUUUUACAAAUUUGCUUUAUAUAUAAAAAAAAUUACAACGCCAAACUAGGUCGCCUUCAAGUUAUUUGACAUUAUUUAAAAAAUAAACUUUAUAAAAAAAAGUUGUAAUGAUAAAAUGUACUCAAACCUUUCAACGCCAGUUGAAAUGGCAUUCAAGCUAACAUCUGCUUUAUAAAUAUUCCGAAAUGAUAUUCAAUUAUUUUAUUUUCAAAUUUGCUUUUAUAAAAUAAAAAAUUAUAAAAAAAUUUUAAUAAAAAUUUGUUUUGUAAGAAAAAAAUUCUGGUAAGUUUUUUGUUUAAAAAAAAUAUACAAAAGGGAUUCUUACAUUCAACCCCAGUUCUAUUGGCUUUUAGCCUAUUUUCGGAAAAAGUGAAUAAAAGGGAUGUAAAUGAUAAAAUUAAACCUAUUUAAGGUUAUUUGGGUGAGGAACAUUUGGUGGGGGGGCAGAUUUGCAGCAGGUGCAGUACCGAGACCAGUAGGAGGAGCACUCGGGGCAAUCAGACUCUGGCCGGUAUAACCUUUUUGGUGUUUAGUUAGUGAAAUUACCACAUAAGUUGUAGAAUACUGUAACUUCUUUUUGCUGAUUCUUAACUGGUUGAAGGGUAGAUGCACAAUUGACAACACCAAAAAGGUAUUUGUGUAAUCCCAUUCCGUUAGCUUCAAGUGUUGUCCACAUGCGAUCUUCUUCUCUUUCUUUAGAACACUAACAAAGUAAAAAAAGCUGCUCAAAUAUCAAUUAGAGACGAGAGAUUUAAAUUUUCUAUGAUUGUAGAGUUAUUUUUCAUAGCCAGAUGUGGUACUAUCUUUAUUGUUUUGCAAGUAACAGUUGUUUUGCCUCAAAAUAAAAUCAAGUAAGAGGAUUUUCAAUAUCCAUAGUACUGAAUUGAUAGUAAAAACAGAGCAUAUAAAGGAACAAACACAAAAUACCAGAACAAAUGCAUUUCCAUUCCAACAAGAGCAAAUAUUACAACCAAAACCAUGCAUUUCCAUCAACUCUACAAACCAUUACAUUUCAUUCCAAUGCUUUUCAUACCAACAUAAUAGCUACUACUUACUGUAAUUACAACCAAGAGAUAAUCCAUACCCCAAACAACAUAAACCUAAAAUCCAACACAAACCCAAAUUUCCAUCCAAAAAACCACCGCAUUUUUCAUACCAUUUUUUGUUUCUUGAUUGCAAGACUUUUGGACAACAAAGCCCUAACCACCAAACCCAUACAGGGUCCUUCCCUGCCUUUUCAGUGCAUACACAACAUCCAUGGCAGUCACAGUUUUCCGGCGAGCAUGCUCAGUGUAAGUGACAGCAUCACGAAUGACAUUCUCAAGGAAGAUCUUGAGAACCCCACGAGUCUCUUCAUAGAUUAAACCACUAAUACGCUUUACUCCUCCCCUGCGAGCCAAUCUCCUUAUGGCCGGCUUAGUUAUUCCCUGGAUGUUAUCCCUCAGUACCUUACGGUGCCGUUUUGCUCCUCCCUUUCCCAAUCCCUUUCCCCCCUUUCCUCUUCCCGACAUUUUUGAUUACUCGAGAAAUUUCACUCUCUCAAUUCCUGCUGAAUUAAAAGAAACAAAUAACAAUUACUCUUUAUUAAUAAACCCUAGAAAUCAAAGGAAACUUAAAUUGAUCACUAAACUGAAUCCUUGGCUUCAUUUAUAUAUACAAAUACAUAAAAACAUAUACGUUAGUAUACUGAUUUGAAGCUUAGAAUUGUAAAUUUUCGACAGCAUAAACAAUCAAAUGAACUAAUCAACAAAUCAGUCACUGAUGAAGAUAAUUAUUUGACGUUUUUUUUUUUUUAUCAAACUAGAUUUAUAGAGAGAGGAACAAACCUGAAACUUAAUAUUAGAUCUGUUGGUGGGGGAGCAGAUGAUGAGUUAAAAGGGGAACUGAAGAUGAAUUUAUAGGGUGAGGAGCUUUUUACUUUCGGGCAGUAGGGACUUGAUCCUCAACAGGUUGUGAAAUAGUUUUUAACCGUUGAUUGAUAGGUAGGUAAGGACGGUUCAGAUAAGAUAUUCAGAAGCACACGGAUCGGUGACGUGGUGGUUGUGCUUUUGAAUGAAAAGUUUCAAGUAAUUAUGUGUUGUGUUUCGAAAUGUGCGCGGCAAAAUGUUCGCGGGAGGGGGAAGCUGAUUUCACUCAAAUUAUAAUUACUACCAAUGUUUCUCAAACCCGGGAAAAAAUUAUAUUAAACGGAUGGACAUUCGUUAAAUGGACAGAGGUUAAAAUAUGUUCUCACUUUUAUUUCAAUGUUUACUGUAAGACUGAUCAUUCGGUUAUAAUCGAAUCGAAUAGGCUAUUCGAUUAUAAUCGAAUACCGAAAUAAUCGUAAUUUCAAUAUCUGAAAAACUAAUCGAAUUUUAGAAAUAACCGAAUUACCGAAUACCGAAUUACCGAAUUCGGUAAUUCGGUUAAUAACCGAACUAGCCAAAAUUAAAACUGAUUGAAAGCAAAAUCACCAAAUUAGCCGAAUAAACAUCAAUAAAAUCUUGCCCAAUUCAAAUUUACAAUCAAAAACAGCAAACCCAAAUGAGUAGAGCAUGAACCCAGAUUCACCACCCAUCACAGUGGAUGACAUCACGAACCCUCUAUACAAUAAAUGUGCCCAUGACCUGGAACCAAUGUUUGAACUGGAAACAGAUCUGGAAUCAAAGCUGCUGCUAGGUGUGCUCAUUGGAUCUGGAAUCAAAGCUGCUGCUAGGUGUGCCCAUGAUCUGGAAUCCGGACUGGANNNNNNNNNNNNNNNNNNNNNNNNNNNNNNNNNNNNNNNNNNNNNNNNNNNNNNNNNNNNNNNNNNNNNNNNNNNNNNNNNNNNNNNNNNNNNNNNNNNNCUUAUGUUUCAUCAAUCUUGUUGGUGCAGGUGAUUGGACUCUAUGUUGGGGUAGCGACCGUUGGAGUUUUCAUCAUAUGGUUCACACAAGACUCUUUCUUAGGAAUUGACCUAAGUAAAGAUGGCCACAGUCUUGUCACUUAUUCACAACUUACUAACUGGGAUCAGUGCAACUCCUGGGGGAAUUUCUCAGCUUCAUCUUUCACAGCCGGAUCUCAAGUGUUCAGUUUUGAUGCCAAUCCAUGCGACUACUUUCAUACUGGAAAAAUCAAAGCCAUGACCCUUUCCCUCUCUGUUUUGGUGGCCAUCGAGAUGUUCAAUUCCCUUAAUGCCCUUUCUGAGGAUGUGAGCCUCUUGACGAUGCCCCCUUGGGUGAACCCAUGGCUCCUCUUGGCCAUGUCAGUCUCGUUUGGCCUGCACUUCUUGAUUCUUUAUGUUCCUUUCCUUGCUCAAGUAUUCGGCAUUGUACCAUUAAGCCUGAACGAGUGGUUAUUGGUGGUAGCUGUUGCUUUCCCGGUGAUUUUGAUCGACGAGGUUCUCAAAUUUGUGGGUAGGUGUACAAGUGGAGUCCGAUCGUCGCGCUCAAGGAAUUCAUUGAAGCACAAGGAAGAGUGACGUUUUAGUUAGAAUUAUUAGCAGGAGGAGGUUGUUAUCCAUAAAAGCUUCAAUGGGUCUAAUUGACCUUAUAUUACUCUUGGUCCGUCCUUUAACCCUUAUGUUCGGGUUAGUUAAUUGGACCUUGAAGAUUCAAUUAAACUGAUUGAACAACUUGUAACAGUAGAAUUUAGUUGAACUUGGUAGCUUUUCUUUUACCUACCCUGUGAUCUAACUUUUGGGAAGAAAAAAUGAAUCCAUCUUGAGUUAAAAUUUAUGUCUCGUCUUUAUUCGGGUCUGUCUUAGUAAAUUUUUGUGAAGUUUGAUUAGAGUUUAGUGCUUGCGAUUGGCAUCUUGUAGAAGUAUAUUGGUUUCUUGCUCGAGUGGUCGUUG
rnacentral:lncRNA from 1 species